GAUGAACGCUGGCGGCGUGCCUAAUACAUGCAAGUCGAGCGAACGGACGAGAAGCUUGCUUCUCUGAUGUUAGCGGCGGACGGGUGAGUAACACGUGGAUAACCUACCUAUAAGACUGGGAUAACUUCGGGAAACCGUAGCUAAUACCGGAUAAUAUUUUGAACCGCAUGGUUCAAAAGUGAAAGACGGUCUUGCUGUCACUUAUAGAUGGAUCCGCGCUGCAUUAGCUAGUUGGUAAGGUAACGGCUUACCAAGGCAACGAUGCAUAGCCGACCUGAGAGGGUGAUCGGCCACACUGGAACUGAGACACGGUCCAGACUCCUACGGGAGGCAGCAGUAGGGAAUCUUCCGCAAUGGGCGAAAGCCUGACGGAGCAACGCCGCGUGAGUGAUGAAGGUCUUCGGAUCGUAAAACUCUGUUAUUAGGGAAGAACAUAUGUGUAAGUAACUGUGCACAUCUUGACGGUACCUAAUCAGAAAGCCACGGCUAACUACGUGCCAGCAGCCGCGGUAAUACGUAGGUGGCAAGCGUUAUCCGGAAUUAUUGGGCGUAAAGCGCGCGUAGGCGGUUUUUUAAGUCUGAUGUGAAAGCCCACGGCUCAACCGUGGAGGGUCAUUGGAAACUGGAAAACUUGAGUGCAGAAGAGGAAAGUGGAAUUCCAUGGGUGUAGCGGUGAAAUGCGCAGAGAUAUGGAGGAACACCAGUGGCGAAGGCGACUUUCUGGUCUGUAACUGACGCUGAUGUGCGAAAGCGUGGGGAUCAAACAGGAUUAGAUACCCUGGUAGUCCACGCCGUAAACGAUGAGUGCUAAGUGUUAGGGGGUUUCCGCCCCUUAGUGCUGCAGCUAACGCAUUAAGCACUCCGCCUGGGGAGUACGACCGCAAGGUUGAAACUCAAAGGAAUUGACGGGGACCCGCACAAGCGGUGGAGCAUGUGGUUUAAUUCGAAGCAACGCGAAGAACCUUACCAAAUCUUGACAUCCUUUGACAACUCUAGAGAUAGAGCCUUCCCCUUCGGGGGACAAAGUGACAGGUGGUGCAUGGUUGUCGUCAGCUCGUGUCGUGAGAUGUUGGGUUAAGUCCCGCAACGAGCGCAACCCUUAAGCUUAGUUGCCAUCAUUAAGUUGGGCACUCUAAGUUGACUGCCGGUGACAAACCGGAGGAAGGUGGGGAUGACGUCAAAUCAUCAUGCCCCUUAUGAUUUGGGCUACACACGUGCUACAAUGGACAAUACAAAGGGCAGCGAAACCGCGAGGUCAAGCAAAUCCCAUAAAGUUGUUCUCAGUUCGGAUUGUAGUCUGCAACUCGACUACAUGAAGCUGGAAUCGCUAGUAAUCGUAGAUCAGCAUGCUACGGUGAAUACGUUCCCGGGUCU
rnacentral:rRNA from 1 species